GUGCCAGCCGCCGCGGUAAUACGGAGGUGGCGAGCGUUGCCCGGAAUCACUGGGCGUAAAGGGGGCGUAGGCGGCCAGGCAAGUCGGAGGUUAAAGCCCGGGGCUCAACCCCGGAAAGGCCUCCGAUACUGCUUGGCUUGAGGGCCGGAGAGGCUGGCGGAAUUCCCGGUGUAGGGGUGAAAUCCGUAGAUAUCGGGAGGAACACCAGUGGGGAAGCCGGCCAGCUGGACGGUCCCUGACGCUGAGGCCCGAAAGCGUGGGGAGCAAACCGGAUUAGAUACCCGGGUAGUCCACGCCGUAAACGAUGGGCGCUAGGUGUGGGGGGUUAAUCCUCCCGUGCCGUAGCUAACGCGUUAAGCGCCCCGCCUGGGGAGUACGGCCGCAAGGCUGAAACUCAAAGGAAUUGACGGGGGCCCGCACAAGCGGUGGAGCACGUGGUUUAAUUCGAUGCAAAGCGAAGAACCUUACCCGGGUUUGACAUGCCAGGGUCGUACCCGGCAGAGAUGUCGGGGAGGCUAGGCUUUGUCUAGCCGCUCUGGCACAGGUGCUGCAUGGCUGUCGUCAGCUCGUGUCGUGAGAUGUUGGGUUAAGUCCCGCAACGAGCGCAACCCUCGCCCCUAGUUGCCAGCGGUUCGGCCGGGCACUCUAGGGGGACUGCCGGGGACAACCCGGAGGAAGGAGGGGAUGACGUCAAGUCCUCAUGGCCCUUAUGCCCGGGGCUACACACGUGCUACAAUGGGCGGUACAGAGGGUUGCGAACCCGCAAGGGGGAGCUAAUCCCAGAAAGCCGCCCUCAGUUCGGAUCGGGGUCUGCAACUCGACCCCGUGAAGCCGGAAUCGCUAGUAACGGCGGAUCAGCAUGCCGCCGUGAAUACGUUCCCGGGCCUUGUACACACCGCCCGUCACACCACGGAAGCCGGCUCUGCCCGAAGUCGCUGUCCCAACCCGCUUCGGCGGGAGGGAGGCGCCUACGGCAGGGCUGGUGACUGGGGUGAAGUCGUAACAAGGUAGCC
rnacentral:rRNA from 1 species